rnacentral:lncRNA from 8 species
GUCUAUCUUCAUGGAUGUUACACCUGGAUGUGUGCACGUCUGCAGAUGGGCUCAGCUACAUACGUGGAAGACACAAGCCAUAAUCACUUUCGCUAUUUUCUGUGGCUUAUAGGGCGCUCGAACGCACUCCAGGGGUCCAACCCGCACUCCUCAGUUAGAGCACGUUCACCUGCCGUUUCAAGAAGAUGCACGUUAUGUUUGAGGGACGCACAACACUUCAAGAUAGAAAACAGCAUGUGGGAGUCCGUCAUUACACAACUUGCAUCUACUUGAGACUGCAGGUGAACACGCUCUAACUUGAGGUGUGCGGGUCGGAGCCCUGGAGUGUAUCAAUACUAAAAGAAUAAAUUCCACAUUCCUUAUAAUAAUCAAACCAGACAACACGAUUUUCUUGUUUAACAAAAUACAUAUUUACGGAUAGCCAGGGGCACAUUCCAAUACUCAGACGUAAUUUACAAAUGAAGCAUUUGUGUUUAGUUAGUCCGCCAGAUCAGAAGUAGUAGGAAUGAAGAGAGAUGUUCUCUUGACAAGUGCAUGAAUUUAACCAUUUUCCUGUCCUACUAAGCGUUCAAAAUGUAACGAGUACUUUUGGGUGUCAGGGGAAAAUGUAUGGAGUAAAAAGUACAAUAUUUUCUUUAGGAAUGUAGUGGAGUAAAAGUAAAAGUUGUCAAAAACAGAUGGUAAAGUACAGAUACCUCAAACUACUUAAGUAAUACUAUUAAGUAUUUUUACUCAAGUACUUUACACCACUGCGUGUGACGAAAGCAAGCAGAGUCAAGGGUGCUGUAUGUAGUCGCCCUAUGAGGAAGGUACACAAAGGGCACAGCAUUACUCUGCCCCAUGCAGGGCCACAGGUAUGUCGAAAGCCCAGUUCGACAUAAUUAAUUUCAUUCAAUGCAUUUAUGAGGACUGACAGUCAAUCACCAGAGAAACUACAACUUAAUAAACCCUACUGCAAAUAAAACAUGUGUUUUCUCUUUUUGGUCUCUGGAUAUGCUGCUACUAUUCUCAACUUCAGAGUAUUGUGCUUAUUAUAUUAAUAAGAAACCUUGCUUUGUUUGAAAGGAUUUAAGGGUUAGUUUAGGAGUUGGGAGAAACAUGGCAGCUCACCAUGGGGUCAUGAGAUAUGCAGUUAUUAUGGGACGCACACCUUUUACCUUCGACAACUGUUUUGUACAACAAUAGAGGUUUAUACCAAAAGUAUUAUUAACGAUUUUUUUUUUAUAACUAUCUGUGGCAUUGUGAUGCAUGUACAUGACACCACAAUGGAAGCAGAUGUGAUUGUGAUGGGUAUUCUAUCCCCAUGGCAAUGAUGAUAUCAUCACCAUUAUGACAUCAGCCCAAGCUUGCGUGCCCAAGUCAUUCACCAUUAUGAUCCACUCGCUACGAUUUUAUGAUAUGCAUAAAAUCAAUACUUCAAUCAAUACUUUAAU